rnacentral:snRNA from 1 species
GUGCUUGCUUCAGCAGCACAUAUACUACAAUUGGAACAUACAGAGAAGAUUAGUAUGGUGCUUGAACAAGGAUGGCAUGCAAAGUCGUGAAGUGUUCCACAUUUUU